CCUACGGGAGGCAGCAGUGGGGAAUAUUGGGCAAUGGGAGGAAACUCUGACCCAGCGACGCCGCGUGCGGGAUGAAGGCCUUCGGGUUGUAAACCGCUUUCAGUAGGGAAGAAGCGAAAGUGACGGUACCUACAAAAGAAGCACCGGCUAACUAUGUGCCAGCAGCCGCGGUAAUACAUAGGGUGCAAGCGUUGUCCGGAAUUAUUGGGCGUAAAGAGCUCGUAGGUCGUUUGUUACGUCGGAUGUGAAAACCUGAGGCUCAACCUCAGGCCUGCAUUCGAUACGGGCAAACUAGAGUUUGGUAGGGGAGACUGGAAUUCCUGGUGUAGCGGUGGAAUGCGCAGAUAUCAGGAGGAACACCAAUGGCGAAGGCAGGUCUCUGGGCCAAUACUGACACUGAGGAGCGAAAGUCUGGGGAGCGAACAGGAUUAGAUACCCUGGUAGUCCAGACCGUAAACGGUGGGCACUAGUUGUGGGAACUUCCACGGUUUCUGCGACGCNACUACACAUUAGUCGCCCGCCGUCGGGAGGUACGAGUCGCGAAGAAGUUAAACGUAACGAAAGAAAGUUAGUAACGGUCGUGUUAGACGUCGCCGACGGACGACGACGAGGGAGGAGG
rnacentral:rRNA from 1 species